AGUGAACGCUGGCGGUAGGCCUAACACAUGCAAGUCGAACGGCAGCACAGUAAGAGCUUGCUCUUACGGGUGGCGAGUGGCGGACGGGUGAGGAAUACAUCGGAAUCUACUUUUUCGUGGGGGAUAACGUAGGGAAACUUACGCUAAUACCGCAUACGACCUACGGGUGAAAGCAGGGGAUCUUCGGACCUUGCGCGUUUGAAUGAGCCGAUGUCGGAUUAGCUAGUUGGCGGGGUAAAGGCCCACCAAGGCGACGAUCCGUAGCUGGUCUGAGAGGAUGAUGCGCCACACUGGAAAUGAGACACGGUCCAGACUCCUACGGGAGGCAGCAGUGGGGAAUAUUGGACAAUGGGCGCAAGCCUGAUCCAGCCAUAACGCGUGGGUGAAGAAGGCCUUCGGGUUGUAAAGCCCUUUUGUUGGGAAAGAAAAGCAGCAGGUUAAUACCCCGCUGUUCUGACGGUACCCAAAGAAUAAGCACCGGCUAACUUCGUG
rnacentral:rRNA from 1 species